UCGCGUCACGUGCAUGUGAGAUUAUAGC
rnacentral:sRNA from 1 species